UGAGCAAUCUGCCCUUCUCUUCGGAAUAAGCGUUGGAAACGACGUCUAAUGCCGAAUACGACCUCCUUUCGCAUGAUCGGAGGUGGAAAGCUCCGGCGGAGAAGGAUGAGCUCGCGGCCUAUCAGCUAGUUGGUGUGGGUAAUGGCCCACCAAGGCGACGACGGGUAGCCGGCCUGAGAGGGUGACCGGCCACACUGGGACUGAGACACGGUCCAGACUCCUACGGGAGGNAGCG
rnacentral:rRNA from 1 species